CGCUACAUCCGGGCACUGGGGCAGGAUGAAUGCUCCUUUCCAAGAUGGCGGCGGAGGGAGGAGGGAAGGAGAUGAACGAGAUUAAGACCCAGUUCACCACCCGGGAGGGGCUGUACAAGCUGCUGAGCCACUCGGAGUACAGCCGGCCUAACCGGGUGCCCUUCAACUCGCAGGGUUCCAACCCGGUCCGCGUUUCCUUCGUCAACGUCAACGACCAGAGCGGCAACGGGGACCGGCUCUGCUUCAAUGUGGGCCGGGAGCUUUACUUCUACAUCUACAAGGGGGUCCGCAAGGCUGCGGACUUGAGUAAACCAAUAGACAAAAGGAUAUACAAAGGAACACAGCCUACAUGCCAUGACUUCAAUCACUUAACAGCCACAGCAGAAAGUGUGUCUCUUCUAGUGGGCUUCUCUGCAGGCCAGGUCCAACUUAUAGAUCCUAUUAAAAAAGAAACUAGCAAACUAUUUAAUGAGGAAAGACUAAUAGACAAGUCCAGAGUAACCUGUGUAAAAUGGGUACCAGGUUCGGAAAGCCUUUUCCUAGUAGCUCAUUCCAGUGGCAAUAUGUACUUGUAUAACGUGGAGCACACUUGUGGUACCACAGCCCCGCACUACCAGCUACUUAAACAAGGAGAAAGUUUUGCAGUUCACACUUGCAAGAGUAAAUCCACAAGAAACCCUCUGCUUAAAUGGACAGUAGGUGAGGGUGCCCUGAAUGAAUUUGCCUUUUCCCCAGAUGGGAAGUUCUUGGCAUGUGUGAGCCAGGAUGGUUUUCUUCGUGUGUUUAACUUUGAUUCAGUGGAAUUGCAUGGUACAAUGAAAAGCUACUUUGGAGGACUGCUGUGUGUGUGUUGGAGUCCCGAUGGGAAGUACAUAGUGACAGGUGGAGAGGAUGACUUGGUAACGGUUUGGUCUUUCGUGGACUGUCGAGUAAUAGCGAGAGGCCACGGACAUAAAUCGUGGGUCAGUGUUGUUGCGUUUGAUCCAUAUACCACUAGUGUAGAAGAGAGUGACCCGAUGGAAUUUAGCGGAAGUGAUGAGGAUUUCCAAGACCUUCAUUUUGGCAGAGAUCGAGCAAAUAGUACGCAAUCUAGGCUAUCCAAAAGGAACUCUACAGACAGUCGUCCAGUAAGUGUUACGUAUAGAUUUGGUUCAGUAGGCCAGGACACACAGCUCUGUUUGUGGGAUCUUACAGAAGAUAUCCUCUUCCCCCACCAACCUCUCUCAAGAGCAAGGACACAUACAAAUGUCAUGAAUGCCACAAGUCCACCUGCUGGAAGUGGUGGAACUAACCCAGGAAGUAAUGGAAACAGUAUCACAACACCUGGAAACUCUGUACCCCCUCCUCUUCCACGGUCAAACAGCCUUCCACACUCUGCAGUCUCAAAUGCUGGCAGUAAAAGCAGUGUCAUGGAUGGUGCCAUUGCUUCUGGCGUUAGUAAAUUUGCAACCUUAUCGCUACACGAUCGGAAGGAAAGACACCAUGAAAAAGAUCACAAGAGAAAUCAUAGCAUGGGACAUAUAUCUAGCAAGAGCAGUGACAAACUGAACCUAGUUACUAAAACCAAAACGGACCCAGCUAAAACUUUGGGAACACCUCUCUGUCCCCGAAUGGAAGAUGUUCCCUUGUUAGAGCCUCUUAUCUGUAAAAAGAUAGCACAUGAAAGACUGACUGUGUUAAUUUUUCUUGAAGACUGUAUAGUCACUGCUUGUCAGGAGGGAUUUAUUUGCACAUGGGCAAGGCCUGGUAAAGUGGUAAGUUUUAAUCCUUAAUGCUGCAUCAAAGAACUAGAACUCUGAAUAGGUAGUUUUCUUGAAAUAUAAAUGAAUGUUGAAUAUAAAAUUUCUUUAUGCUUAAUGUAAAAAAAAAAAAAAAAUCCUCAGAGCCAUACUUUUGGAUACUGCAUGCCAUAUUUCUGAAUGAUUUGAAGUGUCUUGGAUACAAUUAUUAAGUAUAGUUGCCUUCCAGCAGAAGAAAUAAAUACUGUGCAUCUAAACUAUUGAUCAGUGUUCUUAUACUUAAGCAUAACCACAAUAUGGUGAAAGUUAUUUAUGUAAAAAUUGAAGUAAAACCUGUCAAUCACUAAAAUAAUUAUAAUCCUUCUAAUGUUUUCUACAAAAUACAGCACUCCCAAUGAGAGUAGCUUAUGAAAAGCUGCUGCUUGUAAGGCUAAUGAGACAUGUGAGCCUCUGAAAAAAUUAAAACCAAAGUGUUUUGUUCCUCCAUACUUUUCUGUGGUGGCCUGCCAUUAAUGUAAAACCACUUCUUGUUAAAACGUCAGCCAUUUUAUGCACAGAUUUGUGAGCCCUUUUACUGACUGUAGUUUAUGCUCUUGAAAUUGUGAAUCAGUAUUAUCGAGGAACUCUAAUUUUUGAUUGAUGUAUUUGUUAAAUUAGGGAAAAUCAUGCAAGCUUUCUCUAAGUUUCAGUGUUACGUUACUGUCAGUUUUGUUAGGCAAUUUGAUCAUCGACAAGCUCAUGCUUUUUGAUGGCACCUGUUCUAUCAGUUGAACCUUCAUUAAAAUAUAUUACUAGUUUUAACUCUUGUUGUUAAUGCACUUGAACACAGAUAAAACUUUCUUUUUCUUUUGUCCAAUGUAUAGCAAGCUAAAUUUUGAAUGAAGCUAAAUGUGGUGAUUAUUUUAUUAAAAAAGUACUUUGUGCUACAAUAGCUUUGCUUGCCAGCAACAUUUCAAAGGAAUACAGCUAUGAAAACAUUACCAGAGUUGAUCUAGCAGGAAGGACUAUUAUUUUUGUGAAAAAUUCUGAAAGGGGAUGUAAUUUAUCACCUGAAGAAACAGAAGUAAUCUGGUAAUACCUGAAUAUUGCCAAGUUGAGCAACCUUAAAUGAAAAUCUGAUGUUCAUUAGGUUUUAACCAUUUGGUUUGUAAAUCUGACUUUUGAAGUGGAGGUACUGUAUAUAUUUCUAUACCACAUUUUCAUUGCUAUAAACUUUUAAGUAAAACCCAAUAAUUUUUCUUAAAACUGUUUGUAUAAUGUAAGUUGCUUUGAGAUGUUAUCAAAUUUGUCACAACGUAGGUAUGUGUAGAGAGCUAUGUCAGCUCUGCAUCUUAAUGCAUAUUUAAAGGUUGAAUCUAAAACUAAAACGUGUAAAACUUUUUCUGGGGAGAAGGGAGGAUGGUGUUACCUGAAAGUAUUUUUGGCCUAAAAACUACAGAUCCAGCAUUAAUUUAAAAAAAAAAAAAAAAAAACCCCCCCCCCCCCCAAACACUAUUUUGAAUGUUUGUCCUAAAUGAAACUACUACAGCAGUUAUCAUUUCUGCAACUCAGUGCAAUUCACGUAUCUUAUGAAUUAACUUUACAUCUACAGCAGUGCCUCAGAUUUAUAUUAUGACCUAUAUUUUCUUUUUGUUCUACAACUCCUUUGCGUACUACUAAACACUACACUGUUAAAUUUAUCUUCAGUGGCUGAGGUGGGUUUUGUUAGGCUGGGUAUAACUUAAAUAUUUGUGUGUAUUGACUUUGAUUUGGAAUAUGACAUUUCAAAUAUUUCAGAGAUAAAGUAUGCAGUACCAAAAAAUCAGGAUUUAUGUAUUGGCCAAUAUGGAAAACUUUAAUUACAGGGUUUAUUGUCAUCCCAAACCCAGGCCAAUUCUCCAAGUGGAACUGUAGUAUAGCCAUCACACUACUG